GACAUAUGAUGCUAUUCUAUAUUUGCUACUUCGGACGGGCUUCGCGCUCGAAUGAGACAUAUCAUUAUCACCAAGAUCUCUGAUGUC
rnacentral:snoRNA from 1 species